UGAAAUUCUACCCAUCGGGUUAUAGAACUCACUCUUAGCUGUAGGAGUACUGCGUUAUGAGUAGUUGACAACAACCAAUUUUGCUUAACUACUUGUGAGACAUAGUUCAUUCCCAUCAUCUCAUUUAAGCGUUAACAUUUUCACAUCAGAGAGGAUCAAACAGUGGCUAGUUAGCGUCUGACUGAGGGAGACUUUGACCCCUGCUCAACCAGUUCUGACCCUGUGCUUUUCCUUCGGCCACUGUGACCCCUCUGAAACAUGGAUUUGAAUUCAUCAAUCCAUUAGUAAUGUCAUCAGUGGGCUGUCCACAUUAGCUGCUGUGUGUGGGGCCUGGGUAUUGCCGGGCUCCAGUAGGUCCUGGUGACCUUGAGUCCCAGGUCAUACACAAGGUGCUUCUUUGACGAGCUAGCACGUUUGGCUGUGUGUUCUCUGCAACAGCAUUUUCCAAACUGGCUCAGUUUCAAAGAUCAAUUUUUAGUUAAUGGUUGGUGUCAGUACAUUAGCUGCAUUCAUAGUUCUUAAGAAUCCAGCUUGUCUUUAUCCAGAAAUUAUCUCUAAUGUUGAGUCACCAAGGACGAACUUCUGGACAUUUUCAGAGGCGCCUGUUUAUCUGUUUUCUCUGUUUGCUCUGUUUAAAGGAGGGUAUAUAAAGAAGGUUCUGAGACGGGGGAAUCAUCACACAGAGGAGACACAUUCCCCUGCUACCUGAGCCCUCCACUCCUGAUACCAUGCACUGCAACACCUCCGGCGCCAUCUUCCCAGGCUGCUACUGGGGCAGCUACGGCUACCCCCUGGGGUACAGUGUGGGCUGUGGCUACGGCAGCACCUACUCCCCAGUGGGCUACGGCUUCGGUUACGGCUACAAUGGCUGUGGGGCCUUCGGCUACAGAAGAUACUGGCCAUUUGAUCUCUACUGAUUUGCUGAAAUUGCUGAGGCGUAGAAUCUUCUCUCCCAAGGCUGAAAGGCACCCUUCCACGUCCUCCUUCACGUCCUUCUUUAGACCUCCUUUGCUCCUUGACCUCCCAGUCGCUGCUUCUCAGACCUAGCGCCAGAAUCCGGAGGGAAGGAAAUGAAAAAUCAGAUGACGCCUCCAUCCGCCUUCCCUGGAUGAUGUUCUUUGAGACAUUUUCAGAAACUUGACGCCCAAACAUGUAUUUCUUUUGAAUCUCUCACCACGCUCACAACUCUUGAUAAAGUUGUGGAUGUGUGUGUUGAAUUCUCAAUAAACUUGUCUCAAUCAGCAUAAUAUUCUCACCUGAGCAGAGUUUCCUUUCUUGGUGUGUGCAUAUUUUCUGUGACAUUGAGUGGGGAAGGAAGUGGAUUUAUUUUUCUCCUGUGGGCUUUAGAAGCAAUAAGAAAGCAAAUAAUCCUUGAUCUGGUGUGAUAAACAGUCAAGAGGGGGCUACUUGUAAGGGGGAAAAAGUCUGUCUUCACCUUUUUCCUCCGGCAUCUACCUCCAACCCUUGGGCCAAUGGGUCACCAUUCAGUGCUUGGUGUUUCUCAUCUCACUGCUCCUUCCCCUCCUCAAGGAAACCCAAGAUUAUCAGGGGGCUUUUCCAGUUAUUUCCAUAUUAGUGCAAAUGAAACCCACUGUGUUCCCUCUCCCAGGGAUGGAAGAAUGUAGACUAAAACACCGUGUUCCCUACUAAAAGAUUCUGAGGCCUCAAGUAAUAGAAUAGCUAUAGACAUAUUUUAGGAGCCUGAGAGUCUUUUAGGGGAAGGGAUUAUUCCUUAUAUCAAAACAUUUAUUUUACAGUAUUUAUUUUACAGCUUAGAAAUUCCAGGUUGGAAACAAGGAUGGAAAGCUUCUUAAUCUUUGUACAAUCGAUACCAGGUAGUGAGUUUUACUCUUUAAAGAUAUGACUAACUUUUCAUAAAUAUGGGGCAAAAGUAACUAUAAAGAAGUGUUUCUGAAGAUAUAUCAGCCUUUCUCUGUGUUCCUUCAGAGAAAAGAGCUAUUCCUUUCAUAAGCCAAGUCAAAAAUGUCUCAAUCCUCCUGUUGAAAACAUUUUAUGUAUAGUACAAAUAUUCUUGGUGACAGCAGGAUUUGGCUUAACCCUGCUCUUUUAUUGAAUAUCUGCACAUGGCUUUAUUACCUCUGAUUCACCUUGUAGCUAAAAAUGUAAAGGCUGUUUGGAGAGAUUAUUUUAGAAGAAAGUAUUUUCUCCACCAUAUUUCAUCCAAC
rnacentral:lncRNA from 1 species